GAUGAACGCUGGCGGCGUGCCUAAUACAUGCAAGUCGAGCGAAUGGAUUAAGAGCUUGCUCUUAUGAAGUUAGCGGCGGACGGGUGAGUAACACGUGGGUAACCUGCCCAUAAGACUGGGAUAACUCCGGGAAACCGGGGCUAAUACCGGAUAACAUUUUGAACCGCAUGGUUCGAAAUUGAAAGGCGGCUUCGGCUGUCACUUAUGGAUGGACCCGCGUCGCAUUAGCUAGUUGGUGAGGUAACGGCUCACCAAGGCAACGAUGCGUAGCCGAACUGGGAGGGUGAGCGGCCACACUGGGACGGAGACACGGCCCAGACUCCUACGGGAGGCAGCAGUAGGGAAUCUUCCGCAAUGGACGAAAGUCUGACGGGGCAACGCCGCGUGAGUGAUGAAGGCUUUCGGGUCGUAAAACUCUGUUGUUAGGGAAGAACAAGUGCUAGUUGAAUAAGCUGGCACCUUGACGGUACCUAACCAGAAAGCCACGGCUAACUACGUGCCAGCCGCCGCAGUAA
rnacentral:rRNA from 1 species